GUAGGUGAACCUGCGGAAGGAUCAUUAGAAAGUUCGACGCUUCGGCGUCCCACCUUCAAACCACUGUGAAACUACCCGUUGCUUCGGCGGCAUCGGCGCCCUCCGGGUGCCGUGUCGGUCCGCCUGAGGCUCCAAACCAAACCUUUCUGUAACCGUAGUCUGACAACUAAAGAUUUAAUUCGUUAAAACUUUCAACAACGGAUCUCUUGGUUCUC
rnacentral:misc_RNA from 1 species